rnacentral:rRNA from 1 species
UACGUAGGUGGCAAGCGUUACUCGGAAUCACUAGGCUUAAAGCGCGUGUAGGCGGCUUGAUAAGUCUUUUGUGAAAGCUCCUGGCUUAACUGGGAGAGGUCAAAGGAAACUGUCAGGCUAGAGUUUGGUAGGGGAUACUGGAAUUCCUGGUGUAGCGGUGAAAUGCGUAGAUAUCAGGAGGAAUCCCUAUGGCGAAAGCAGGUAUCUGGGCCACAACUGACGCUGAGGCGCGAAAGCCAGGGGAGCAAACGGG